rnacentral:rRNA from 1 species
AACGAACGCUGGCGGCGUGCCUAACACAUGCAAGUCGAGCGGGAAAGUUCCCUUCGGGGAGCGAGUACAGCGGCGAACGGGUGAGUAACACGUAGGUAACCUACCCUUGAGACUGGGAUAACCUGCCGAAAGGCGGGCUAAUACUGGAUAAGACCGUGAGGGCUGCGGCCCUUGGGGUAAAAGGUGGCCUCUGCUUGCAAGCUACCACUUGAGGAUGGGCCUGCGCGCCAUUAGCUAGUU